rnacentral:rRNA from 1 species
AAUAGAUACCCGGGUAGUCCACGCCGUAAACGAUGAGUGCUAAGUGUUAGAGGGUUUCCGCCCUUUAGUGCUGCAGCUAACGCAUUAAGCACUCCGCCUGGGGAGUACGGUCGCAAGACUGAAACUCAAAGGAAUUGACGGGGGGCCCGCACAAGCGGUGGAGCAUGUGGUUUAAUUCGAAGCAACGCGAAGAACCUUACCAAGUCUUGACAUCCCACUGACCGGUAUAGAGAUAUACCUUUCCCUUCGGGGACAGUGGUGACAGGUGGUGCAUGGUUGUCGUCAGCUCGUGUCGUGAGAUGUUGGGUUAAGUCCCGCAACGAGCGCAACCCUUGAUCUUAGUUGCCAGCAUUUAGUUGGGCACUCUAAGGUGACUGCCGGUGACAAACCGGAGGAAGGUGGGGAUGACGUCAAAUCAUCAUGCCCCUUAUGACCUGGGCUACACACGCGCUACAAUGGAUGGUACAAAGGGCUGCAAGACUGCGAAGUCAAGCCAAUCCCAUAAAACCAUUCUCAGUUCGGAUUG